AGUUGACUAUAUAUGACACUGUUUGUCACCUCCAACGCAUCAGUUUUUCUCAUGUCAUCCAUCUCAUUCAUACCAUUCAUUCUUUGAAGUAGAGUAUCGUUCUAGACUUUAAUAUCUUUUAUCAUUUCCUAGCUAUUCUCCUUGUUCUGCAUAUUUGGUGCUGUUUUCAUCGCGUUGGAGGCAUUUAUACCUGCAACUACGCCAUUUUCCAAAUAAUAUCCAAUCCUCUGCCGCAUUUGCAUCUCUUAGCCGUCGAGGGCUUGAACGUCGAACUGUUUCCGCGACGUCGCAAUAUUUCAAUCGUUGCGACUUUUAUUCAUUCCUCCUUGCGCAUUGCUAGAUACCGACGAUCGUUCUGGGCAUAACAGAUUGCCAAGUAUCAGGAGAACACGGACAGAUUUUACCAAAAAUAAAAAUAAAAAAUAAUGUGUUACCAAGUUGUUGAAAGGUACUCGGUCUGCCGCUGUCUCUAUCACCGCCAUGCGGUAGACCCGUGCGAGGCCUAUGGUCAACGAGGCCAUAUAGUGCAGGAGAAAACAGUCCUUGUUGGCUACGCAUGCUCAGUCCAUUCGGCGCAG
rnacentral:sRNA from 2 species